rnacentral:rRNA from 1 species
CCUACGGGUGGCAGCAGUGAGGAAUAUUGGUCAAUGGACGAAAGUCUGAACCAGCCAAGUAGCGUGAAGGAUGACGGAUCUAUGGGUUGUAAACUUCUUUUAUAUGGGAAUAAAAUGUUCCACGUGUGGGUAUUUGUAUGUACCCUAUGAAUAAGGAUCGGCUAACUCCGUGCCAGCAGCCGCGGUAAUACGGAGGAUGCGAGCGUUAUCCGGAUUUAUUGGGUUUAAAGGGUGCGUAGGUGGUUUGUUAAGUCAGUGGUGAAAGUUUGCGGCUCAACCGUAAAAUUGCAGUUGAAACUGGAAGUCUUGAGUAUAGUAGAGGUAGGCGGAAUGCGUGGUGUAGCGGUGAAAUGCAUAGAUAUCACGAAGAACUCCGAUUGCGAAGGCAGCUCACUAGACUACAACUGACACUGAGGCACGAAAGUGUGGGGAUCAAACAGGAUUAGAUACCCUAGUAGUC